AAAGUCAAAAAUAAUUUUAAAAUUGCUUACGUAAUUGAAAUAACUAACUCUAGCAAAAGGUCUUUCAUCUCGCGGAUGUUUGAAGUUUGCUCUCUGUUUGUCCGUUUGUUUUUCUGUAUUUCCUCAAUUGGUUUCAUCAUGGUAAGCAACCCAAUCUAUUGAUCCAUUCAUCCAUGAUCAAUAACAAAUUCAUCAAUGCCAUAUAUAGGAACCGUACAAAUUAUCUAAAUUGGUGCAGUUGAAAUAACUUACUCUAGCAAAAGGACUUGCAUCUCGCGGAUGUUUGAAGUUUGCUCUCUGCUUGCCCAUUUGUUUUUCUAUACUUCCUCAAUUGGUUUCAUCAUGGUAAGCAACCCAAUCCAUUGAUCCAUGAUCAGUAACAAAUUCAUCAAUGGCAUAUACAGGAACCGUGCAAAUUAUCUAAAUUGGUGCAGGUGAUACAUACUGAAGAUAAUUUGAUCUCUAAUUAUGUGCACAUGAUACUUACUGGAGGUUGUGUGAUUGCUCAAUGGAGCCAUUAACAGUCGAGGAGAGUCAACAGAGGAGACUGGGACGCUUGCAACUAUUGGAGGAAGGCGAUGUCCAAGUGCUGAUCACUGGAGGAAGAUAAUGAAGAAGGUGAGCUCUGAAGGUGGGAUCUGACUUGUGGGGCGUGCUGGAACUGACUUGAUGCUAGCUUGUAUGGGUGGUUUCAUCGCCCUGGCACCAUUUAUAACCUGAUUGCCGGAAUUCAUAAAUCACAACAUUACCUUCUCGUGGUAUCGCUUUGCCUCGAUUGCUCGAGGUAGCAGCCACCAGCCUGGUAGAACAAAUCAAUCUAAAGUUCAAUUUUGUUCCCUUGGUGUUUUGGCAGCAAAAUAUCAGAUUAUCUGUUUGUUUCAUCCAUUCAUCCAUUGAUGUAUAAUUAAAAUAGUUACUUUGCACAUAGUUCUUUUCGUUGAUGACAGCUAUGUAAAGAGAUUUUCUCGAAAGAAAAAAAAAUACCAUUUGUAAAGAACUGGAUAUAACGCUCUGAAAAUAUUUAGAAUUGGAAUUAAUCUG
rnacentral:lncRNA from 1 species